rnacentral:rRNA from 1 species
GAUGAACGCUAGCGGCAGGCUUAACACAUGCAAGUCGAGGGGUAUUUGGACUUCGGUUCAGAGAGACCGGCAAACGGGUGCGGAACACGUACACAACCUACCUUUAUCAGGGGGAUAGCCCAUAGAAAUGUGGAUUAAUACCCCAUAGUAUUAUGUGAUGGCAUCAUUAUAUAAUUAAAGAAUUUCGGAUAGAGAUGGGUGUGCGUAAGAUUAGCUAGUUGGUAGGGUAACGGCCUACCAAGGCAACGAUCUUUAGCUGAUGUGAGAGCAUGAUCAGCCACACGGGCACUGAGACACGGGCCCGACUCCUACGGGAGGCAGCAGUGAGGAAUAUUGGUCAAUGGACGGAAGUCUGAACCAGCCAUGCCGCGUGAAGGAUGAAGGCGUUCUGCGUUGUAAACUUCUUUUAUCUGGGAAGAAACCACAGAUUUCUAUUUGUGUUGACGGUACCAGAUGAAUAAGCACCGGCUAACUCCGUGCCAGCAG